AAUGUUUUUCUCAAUCUUUGUCUCUUCCAUUUUGUAUGUUUUUAUUGUUGUGACACAGGGGCUCAGCUGUGAAAGAGACCUUGGUCUCAGACGAUUUCUCUGCAUAAAGAUAAUAGGAAGAAAAAGAAAACAACAGUUCAGAAACACUCUCCAGAAGAACACAAUACAUGAAAAACGCUCAACAAAGAUAGAUGGCAUCUUUCCACUGUCUGACAGAUGAUCUGCAAAUGGAGAAAAGAUCAGAUCACUGGCAAGAUGCUUAUACAAGUCUCUAAGACUUGGUCCUGUCUGAGGGCCGUAAACCAGCAGCGGGAAGAUCCAGACUGAAACCAGAUGCUGAUGGAGGAGGUUAGUAUGGACUCUACGAUCCAUUCAUUUGUUUUCGCAGCAACCACUUGUGUGCAGUUUUGGUGAUUUAUAUCAUGUUGUCCAUGAGACUGUGAAUGAUUCAGCCUAACAACUGAGGUCUUAAUCUCAAGAGGAAGAGGUGGGAGGCUUUUUCUGAAAUCAACAAACAAAUUUCUGUAUAGACUAUAAUCAAUUAUAUAUAGAUAACAGGAUACUAGGACUAUACAAUCUUAAGGAUGGGAAUGGGAUGUUCAUAGUUAAUUACUAAUGCCUGACCUGUGCAACAACACAUGCAUGGAGGUAGUAGCAUUAUGGUUUGAGGCUGCUUUGCUGCCUGUGGGCCUGGCCAAUUUGCCAUCAUUAAGUUAACUGUGACUACAUUGUUCCAGGGGGUGUACUUACAUUCUACAUGACUGUAUAGGGGCAGUAGUGCACAACAAUUGUAAAUGACUGUAAAUGAGUGCGUAGAAUACAUACCUUAACUUACACUCACCUAAAAGAUUAUUAGGAACACCAUACUAAUACUGUGUUUGACCCCCUUUUGCCUUCAGAACUGCCUUAAUUCUACGUGGCAUUGAUUCAACAAGGUGCUGAAAGCAUUCUUUAGAAAUGUUGGCACAUAUUGAUAGGAUAGCAUCUUGCAGUUGAGGGGGAUUUGUGGGAUGCACAUCCAGGGCACGAAGCUCCCGUUCCACCACAUCCCAAAGAUGCUCUAUUGGGUUGAGAUCUGGUGACUGUGGGGGCCAUUUCUGUACAGUGAACUCAUUGUCAUGUUCAAGAAACCAAUUUGAAAUGAUUCAAGCUUUGUGACAUGGUGCAUUAUCCUGCUGGAAGUAGCCAUCAGAGGAUGGGUACAUGGUGGUCAUAAAGGAAUGGACAUGGUCAGAAACAAUGCUCAGGUAGGCUGUGGCAUUUAAACAAUGCCCAAUUGGCACUAAGGGGCCUAAAGUGUGCCAAGAAAACAUCCCCCACACCAUUACACCACCACCACCAGCCUGCAC
ensembl:lncRNA